rnacentral:rRNA from 1 species
GUUUGACGUUAGCAACAGAAGAAGCACCGGCUAACUCCGUGCCAGCAGCCGCGGUAAUACGGAGGGUGCGAGCGUUAAUCGGAAUUACUGGGCGUAAAGCGCAUGCAGGUGGUCUGUUAAGCAAGAUGUGAAAGCCCGGGGCUCAACCUCGGAACAGCAUUUUGAACUGGCAGACUAGAGUACUGUAGAGGGGGGUAGAAUUUCAGGUGUAGCGGUGAAAUGCGUAGAGAUCUGAAGGAAUACCGGUGGCGAAGGCGGCCCCCUGGACAGAUACUGACACUCAGAUGCGAAAGCGUGGGGAGCAAACAGGAUUAGAUACCCUGGUAGUCCACGCCGUAAACGAUGUCUACUUGGAGGUUGUGGCCUUGAGCCGUGGCUUUCGGAGCUAACGCGUUAAGUAGACCGCCUGGGGAGUACGGUCGCAAGAUUAAAACUCAAAUGAAUUGACGGGGGCCCGCACAAGCGGUGGAGCAUGUGGUUUAAUUCGAUGCAACGCGAAGAACCUUACCUACUCUUGACAUCCAGAGAA